UCUAGAACUCAAGAUAUGAGUUGAACACCGAACAUUGUUUGGGCUGCAAGACAGAUUCAGACUUCUCUUUUGUUGCUAAGAUUUGAACUUCAAAACGACAGUAUUGAAUCUUGAAAUCUUCAUGAAUGUUUAAGAAUAUGUUUUAGAUUUCUAUC
rfam:Populus trichocarpa scaffold_18_contig_125, whole genome shotgun sequence.